UACAGAGGUCCCGAGCGUUGUUCGGAUUCACUGGGCGUAAAGGGUGCGUAGGUGGUGAGGUAAGUCGGAUGUGAAAGCUCCAGCUCAACUUGGAAAUGGCAUUGGAAACUACCUUGCUAGAGGGUUUGAGGGGGGACGUGGAAUGACUUGGUAGUAGCAGUGAAAUGCGUAGAUAAUCAAGUGGAACACCAGUGGCGAAGGCGAGUCCCUGGAAA
rnacentral:rRNA from 1 species